rnacentral:lncRNA from 1 species
GGGUGAUGGUUAACUAUUUUCAUGAUUGAUUCAGUAGAAGGCUCUUAUCUCUGGCUAGUCCUAUUGUCUAUAAGAAUUUCAUUAAUAUCCUCAGAUUCAUGGGUUGGUCAGAAACUAGAUUCAAGGUCGACUUUCUCAUCACUAAUUUCAAUGGGUUCAUAAAUUUUUUUUUAAAUUAUAUUUACAUCAGCAUGUUGGGUGGAUUUCUGUCCUAGAUUGAGUAUAUUCAGUUCAAUGGUCA